UUGUGUUUGUUCUGCUUCCUGCUAGUACCUGAGAGGUGUGGGUGGAUUCUGUAUAUUUUGGAACCUGGACAAACUACUUUGCAACCUGACCGUAAGUGCCUUUGGAUCUCACUUCCAUUGACUGUGGCUGAGCUCCUGGAUUUCCCAGCAAUCGGUUUGGUGAGGAUUGUGACCAACUGUGGACCGCUUCUAGUAGGAUUACUUCCUUGGACUAACGACUCCAUUUCUCAACGGCGACGCUGCUGCACCAUCCAUUCCUCACUCGACUACUUUUGUGACGUCACCUCCCCCAUCCCGGAGAAGUUCUCUGACCAAUGGACAAACCGAAAGAAUGAAUCAAGAAUUGGAAUCCAUGCUCCGAUGUCAAACCACAACCAACCCCACCACUUGGACACCAUAUCUGUCGCUGUCAAAAGAUCUGGACCAACACUGUUGCUGCCCUGCAGCGCUCUAACGAACAGAAUCGCUGCUACGUUGACUGUCGUAGGGUACCUGGCCAAAAGGUGUCAUCAGCAGUACGGCAGCUUCCUCCCUGACAGCAACCUGACUCAGUUGCAGAGAGGUGGAACGUGAUCAUAUUUUGCUCCAGGGGUUAAAAAAACCAGAGCACCUUGAGCCAUUUUGUUCCUGUCUGUGAUGUUUGUAUAUAUACAUCAAGAGUUUGUACAUGUUAAAAAGGGUGUCUCUCAAGAUUCUUUGCAGGGUCCAUUAUUUUUCAAUACAAUACAAGAACAACUUGUAGUUUGCAGGUUAUCCUAAAUGCAGAUUAAACUAAAUGCAUGGUUUUUCUUCCAAUCUGCAAGAUCACCACUGAAAAAUGAGAAAUUGAAUUUGUAUCUCAUGCUAAAUAUCUGACUUUUUAAAAAUUAUUAUUCAUGAUCGCUUGACUUUUAAGGAACAUGUUCAGUGUUUAACCAAAAUGCAACUUUUAUUGGGGUUUUCUUACACAAACAGAUCUUGUUUUUUUAUCAUUAUUAUUACUGUAAACAGCAAUUGGUGGAAACAAGUUUUUACCUGUUAUUGACAAUGAUGAUGUGCUCAAUAUGAGUGCUUCUGUUCACUGAGAAUUAAUUCCAAUUCCUUCUGUUCACUGUCUCUGGCUGGGCGAUUCGCUGAGAUUCAUUUCCAAGUCUGGCUGCCUUACUCAUCACUGUACACUAUAUGCUAAAGUUAACUGGAUGUGCCUGUAUACCCAUUGUCUCAGUCAGGUAUUUAUUGGUUUACAAAUCAUUUUAGGCAUCAACCCCAUCUUACCUGUUUUGUCUUUUAACAAAGGCAAAUGGACCUGUUCAUUGGAUGUUCUGCAGUUGUUCCCAAAGUUCAAACUGAUGUAGACAAGAAAUCAUUCUGGUUUUCAGCUCCCGAUACGUUGAAUCAACUACAAACUAAUUACACUGAAUGAGUUUAAAAGGUUUUUAUGUAAAUUUAAUUUCUUUAUUGUUUUUAGUAAUGUAACCAUGCUGCGCCAUGCUUGGCCAGGUCUCCCCUGUAGAAGAGAUAUGUUAUUUCUAUGGAAUUAACCUGUUUAAAUAAAAUGAAUUGCAGAUUAACGCUGAUGUUGAAAAACUGUAAUAUAGCAUCAUGUGAGAGGUUGACAAUUGGUCUUUCCAGUUAAAACUCACACUGUAAAUUACUGUUGUAGAAAAAUUUGCAUCCAGAGAAGGAUGAUUGUCACUCAGAAUCAGCUUUAUUUUAUUCUUGCAAGAGAGGAUUUUACAGCAUUGGAGAUGCACUCAGUAGUGCUGCCAAAUCAUUCUGACCAGACAAAGUAAAAGUUCUCCUAUAAGCGACAACAGUUUUCAAGGUGACUCUCAUGAGACCUGUUGUCCUAGACAUAAUCUUAAUAGUGUGGCACACAUAUCUCACAGCUGCAAGCAGAAGGCUGAGAAACCAUUACUCUAAGACUAAAUAAGAGAAGAAUGGAACAACACUGAGGGGUUCUAAUACUUUUGUCAGUUCCUGUAGAGAAUCAAAGAGCAAAUCAAGCAAGGCACAAAAAUUUCCAUAACAUUACUUAACAUUUUAACAAAUUCUCUUGUUAUUAAAAUCUAAUCUUAAAAUGUU